GGGAGGGGGGUUGGGAGCUGGGUCAGUUUGGGGGGUUUUCUGUGCCUGGCCAGAUGUAGCCUUGGCGUCCGUAGAAGAGGCCUUGACUCACGGCCUCUCUGCUCCAGGUUGUUCAGCAGUGUAAGGUUGUGUGUGCAGGAACACGGGGGCACGGGGUGCUUGAAUUAAUUGGAAUGUAAUCCAGUGAAUUUUCAGACUGCACACAUGGAGGAGAAAGCAGAAGCUUAGAGAAACGCCAAGAAUCCCCCUGUGCUCUGUUCCAGCCUGUCCAAAAUUCUGACACCUCACAGCACAGUCCUCUUCUUUGGCCCCUCUGAAAGACUACACCUCAGGUCUGGAUUCCUGUGUCAGAGGAACAGAAAGGCUCUUUCUGUGGAGAGUUUGGCGUGGUGGCCUUCCUGUCACUGGGUAGGAGGGGCCCGGGGGACAGUGAGUGGGGAGCAUGUGUGUGAGGGGUAGCUGAGAUAGAAGGUGGAGAAGAGUGGGUGUCAAGAGGAGGCUGGAGGAGAGAGGAAGGGGGGAGAAUGAAUGCUGGUGAGUGCCUUUGUGGUCACCUACCACCUUAACCUCAUCAUCCUGUCCAUCUCAGUCCAUGUGUGGUGGACAUACAACAAAGUCUGAGUAUCUGGAACUUAGUAUUUAAUGCUUAUGCUACAGUUAGUCCUGUGGUGCUGCUCAGUUCUGAUAAAAGAAUAAUCAGUAUUCUGAAAAGCACACAAUGUAAGAGCCAUUAAUGUUUACUAAUAUUGUGAUGGCAUAUUUUUCUUUAAAAUGUAUUUUAAUGCAGUUAAAUUAUUCAGUAGCAUAAAAUUUUUUUAAUUUCUGUAAGAGGAACAUUUCAUUUUUUCAUAUAUACAGGUUUUUUUUUUUUGACAGGCAGAGUGGACAGUGAGAGAGAGAGACAGAGAGAAAGGUCUUCCUUUGCCGUUGGUUCACCCUCCAGUGGCCGCCGCGGCCGGCACGCUGCGGC
rnacentral:lncRNA from 1 species